rnacentral:rRNA from 1 species
UGGCAAUCUGCGGGUCGACGAUUCUACGGGAGGCAGCAGUGAGGAAUAUUGGGCAAUGGGCGAAAGCCUGACCCAGCCACGCCGCGUGAGUGAUGAAGGCCUUCGGGUCGUAAAGCUCUGUGGGGAGGGACGAAAAAUCUCCAUUCGAAUAGGAUGGAGACCUGACGGUACCUCCUUAGCAAGCACCGGCUAACUCUGUGCCAGCAGCCGCGGUAAUACAGAGGGUGCGAACGUUGCUCGGAUUUACUGGGCGUAAAGCGCGUGUAGGCGGACUCGCAAGUCGGUUGUGAAAUCCCUGGGCUUAACCUAGGAACUGCAUCCGAAACUGCUUGUCUUGAGUAAUGGAGAGGGUGGCGGAAUUCCCGGUGUAGAGGUGAAAUUCGUAGAUAUCGGGAGGAACAUCAGUGGCGAAGGCGGCCACCUGGACAUUUACUGACGCUGAGACGCGAAAGCGUGGGGAGCAAACAGGAUUAGAUACCCUGGUAGUCCACGCCGUAAACGAUGAGCAUUAGGUGCAGCGGAUAUUGACCUCUGCUGUGCCGUAGCUAACGCGUUAAAUGCUCCGCCUGGGGAGUACGGCCGCAAGGCUAAAACUCAAAUGAAUUGACGG